UUUGAUCCUGGCUCAGGAUGAACGCUGGCGGCGUGCCUAAUACAUGCAAGUCGAGCGAACAGACGAGGAGCUUGCUCCUCUGACGUUAGCGGCGGACGGGUGAGUAACACGUGGAUAACCUACCUAUAAGACUGGGAUAACUUCGGGAAACCGGAGCUAAUACCGGAUAAUAUAUUGAACCGCAUGGUUCAAUAGUGAAAGACGGUUUUGCUGUCACUUAUAGAUGGAUCCGCGCCGCAUUAGCUAGUUGGUAAGGUAACGGCUUACCAAGGCAACGAUGCGUAGCCGACCUGAGAGGGUGAUCGGCCACACUGGAACUGAGACACGGUCCAGACUCCUACGGGAGGCAGCAGUAGGGAAUCUUCCGCAAUGGGCGAAAGCCUGACGGAGCAACGCCGCGUGAGUGAUGAAGGUCUUCGGAUCGUAAAACU
rnacentral:rRNA from 1 species